UACGUAGGGAGCAAGCGUUGUUCGGAUUUACUGGGCGUAAAGGGCGCGUAGGCGGCAAAUUAAGUCAGCUGUGAAAUCUCCGAGCUUAACUCGGAACGGUCAGCUGAUACUGAUCUGCUAGAGUGCGGAAGGGGCAAUCGGAAUUCUUGGUGUAGCGGUGAAAUGCGUAGAUAUCAAGAGGAACACCUGAGGUGAAGACGGGUUGCUGGGCCGACACUGACGCUGAGUGCGCGAAAGCCAGGGAGCAAACGGG
rnacentral:rRNA from 1 species